UACAGAGGGUGCAAGCGUUAAUCGGAAUUACUGGGCGUAAAGCGUGCGCAGGCGGCUUUGCAAGACAGAUGUGAAAUCCCCGGGCUUAACCUGGGAACUGCAUUUGUGACUGCAUGGCUGGAGUGCGGCAGAGGGGGAUGGAAUUCCGCGUGUAGCAGUGAAAUGCGUAGAUAUGCGGAGGAACACCGAUGGCGAAGGCAGUCCCCUGGGCCUGCACUGACGCUCAUGCACGAAAGCGUGGGGAGCAAACAGG
rnacentral:rRNA from 1 species